AGACUCCUACGGGAGGCAGCAGUGGGGAAUAUUGCACAAUGGGCGCAAGCCUGAUGCAGCGACGCCGCGUGAGGGACGACGGCCUUCGGGUUGUAAACCUCUUUCAGCACAGACGAAGCGCGAGUGACGGUAUGUGCAGAAGAAGGACCGGCCAACUACGUGCCAGCAGCCGCGGUAAUACGUAGGGUCCGAGCGUUGUCCGGAAUUACUGGGCGUAAAGAGCUCGUAGGUGGUUUGUCGCGUUGUCCGUGAAAACUCACAGCUCAACUGUGGGCGUGCGGGCGAUACGGGCAGACUAGAGUACUGCAGGGGAGACUGGAAUUCCUGGUGUAGCGGUGGAAUGCGCAGAUAUCAGGAGGAACACCGGUGGCGAAGGCGGGUCUCUGGGCAGUAACUGACGCUGAGGAGCGAAAGCGUGGGGAGCGAACAGGAUUAGAUACCCUGGUAGUCCACGCCGUAAACGGUGGGUACUAGGUGUGGGUUUCCUUCCUUGGGAUCCGUGCCGUAGCUAACGCAUUAAGUACCCCGCCUGGGGAGUACGGCCGCAAGGCUAAAACUCAAAGAAAUUGACGGGGGCCCGCACAAGCGGCGGAGCAUGUGGAUUAAUUCGAUGCAACGCGAAGAACCUUACCUGGGUUUGACAUGCACAGGACGCUGGUAGAGAUAUCAGUUCCCUUGUGGCCUGUGUGCAGGUGGUGCAUGGCUGUCGUCAGCUCGUGUCGUGAGAUGUUGGGUUAAGUCCCGCAACGAGCGCAACCCCUAUCUUAUGUUGCCAGCGCGUCAUGGCGGGGACUCGUAAGAGACUGCCGGGGUCAACUCGGAGGAAGGUGGGGAUGACGUCAAGUCAUCAUGCCCCUUAUGUCCAGGGCUUCACACAUGCUACAAUGGCCGGUACAAAGGGCUGCGAUGCCGUGAGGUGGAGCGAAUCCUUGAAAGCCGGUCUCAGUUCGGAUCGGGGUCUGCAACUCGACCCCGUGAAGUCGGAGUCGCUAGUAAUCGCAGAUCAGCAACGCUGCGGUGAAUACGUUCCCGGGCCUUGUACACACCGCCCGU
rnacentral:rRNA from 1 species